rnacentral:rRNA from 1 species
AGUUCGAUUCUGGCUCAGAUUGAACGCUGGCGGGAUGCUUUACACAUGCAAGUCGAACGGCAGCACGGACUUCGGUCUGGUGGCGAGUGGCGAACGGGUGAGUAAUGUAUCGGAACGUGCCUAGUAGCGGGGAUCCGCGCGAAAGCGUAGCUAAUACCGCAUACGCCCUUCGGGGAAAGCUAAAAUCUUUCGGCCUCGCACUAUUAGAGCGGCCGAUAUCGGAUUAGCUAGUUGGUGGGGUAACGGCUCACCAAGGCGACGAUCCGUAGCUGGUUUGAGAGGACGACCAGCCACACUGGGACUGAGACACGGCCCAGACUCCUACGGAGGCAGCAGUGGGGAAUUUUGACAAUGGGGAAACCCUGAUCCAGCCAUCCUGUAAGGCAAGAAGAAGGCCUUCGGGUUGUAAAGCACUUUUGGCAGGAAGAAACGGCACGGAUAAUACCCUCGUGCAACUGACGGUACCUGCAGACAGCACUUGGCGAAUCUACGCAAAGCAGCAGUCGCGGUAAUACGUAGGGUGCAAGCGUUAAUCGGAAUUACUGGGCGUAAAAGCGCGUGCAGUGCUCCGAAAGAAAGAUGUGAAAUCCCAGAGCUAAUCUUGGAACUGCAUUUUAACUACCGGAGCCAGAUGCGUCGAGGGAGUGGAAUUCGUGUGUAGCAGUGAAAUGCGUAGAUAUGCGGAGGAACACCGAUGGCGAAGGCAUUCUGGGAUAACACUGACGCUCAUGCACGAAAGCGUGGAGCUAAACAGGAUUAGAUACCCCUGGUAGUCCAAUGCUCCCAAACGAUGUCAACUAGCUGUUAGCCUUUCGGCCUUGCAGAAGAAGCAAGGCUGACCGCCUGGGGAGUACGGUCGCAAGAUUAAAACUCAAAGUGACUGAUGGGACCGCAACAGCGGGUGGAUGAAGGGGAGAUUUAACUGAUGCAACGCGAAAAACCUUACCUACCCUUGACAUGUCUGGAAUCCCGAAGAGAUUUGGGAGUGCUCGCAAGAGAACCGAACACAGGCACAUGGCUGUCGUCAGCUCGUGUCGUGAGAUGUUGGGUUAAGUCCCGCAACGAGCGCAACCUCUUGUCAUUAGUUGCUACGAAAGGGCACCGACGAGACUGCCGGUGACAAACCGGAGGAAGGUGGGGAUGACGUCAAGUCCUCAAGUGGCCCUUAUGGUAGGGCUUCACACGUCAUACAAUGGUCGGGACAGAGGGUCGUCAACCCGAAAGUGAGGGAGCUAAUCCUGCAAACCCGAUCGUAGUCCGGAUCGCAGUCUGCAACUCGACUGCGUGAAGUCGGAAUCGCUAGUAAUCGUGAUCAGCAUGUCGCGGUGAAUACGUUCCCGGGUCUUGUACACACUGCCCGUCACACCAUGGGAGUGGGUUUUACCAGAAGUAGUUAGCCUAACCGUAAGGAGGGCGAUUACCACGGUAGGAUUCAUGACUGGUGAAGUCGUACCGUAA